rnacentral:rRNA from 1 species
UACGUAGGGUGCGAGCGUUAAUCGGAAUUACUGGGCGUAAAGGGCGCGUAGGCGGCUUGCUAAGUCGGACGUGAAAUCCCCCGGCUCAACCGGGGAAAUGCGCGUGAUACUGGCGGGCUUGAGAUCGGGAGGGGUGAAUGGAACUCCAGGUGGAGCGGUGAAAUGCGUAGAUAUCUGGAGGAACACCGGUGGCGAAAGCGGUUCACUGGCCCGACACUGACACUGAGGUGCGAAAGCUAGGGUAGCAAACGGG